UACGUAGGGGGCAAGCGUUGUCCGGAUUUAUUGGGCGUAAAGAGCGUGUAGGCGGCUAGAUAGGUCCGUUGUGAAAACUCGAGCUCAACCUCGAGACGCCGGUGGAAACCAUCUAGCUAGAGUCCGGAAGAGGAGAGUGGAAUUCCUGGUGUAGCGGUGAAAUGCGCAGAUAUCAGGAAGAACACCCGUGGCGAAGGCGGCUCUCUGGGACGUGACUGACGCUGAGACGCGAAAAGCGUGGGGAGCGAACAGG
rnacentral:rRNA from 1 species